GGCCAGCCGGCUCCGGCGCUCGGUCAGUCGCGAUCGGAGGCCGACGCCUCCACAGCUCCGGCGGUGCGCUCCUCGGCGACCGGGCCUCGCGUGCUGGUGACGCGGUGCGAGUCGACUCCGGACGCCGGCGAAGAGACGCCGUCAGCGGCGGGACGAGCGGGACUAGACUGCGAUACAGAACCGUGAAAGUUCACCAUGCUUCUGCGAAGACCACUUCUCGCCGCCCUGCUGGUAGCGCUGGCGGUGGCGCGGACGAGGAGGCGACCCAGGUGGCGCAAGAUGUGACCUCGGAGGAGCAGGCGGUGGUGCAGGGCGUGCUGGAGGAGGCGUCACAGCCGCAGCCGGCCGAGGCACGCUCGGAUGACGGCCUCGACCAGCUGGCGCUCGAGUCACAGCUGGACGAGCGCGACUCUGGAGGCGGCCACGGUCACGGCGCCGGUCACGGAGGCGGUCACGGCAGCAGCGUCAGCGGCCACGGCGGCGGCGGC